rnacentral:rRNA from 1 species
AGGCUUUGAUCCUGGCUCAGAACGAACGCUGGCGGCAGGCUUAACACAUGCAAGUCGAGCGAGGACUUCGGUCCUAGCGGCGGACGGGUGAGUAACGCGUGGGAACGUGCCCUUUGGUUCGGAAUAGCCCCGGGAAACUGGGAUUAAUGCCGGAUAUUCUCUCCUGUAGUGGAUAUGGGGGAGGAAAGAUUUAUCGCCAAGGGAUCGGCCCGCGUUGGAUUAGGUAGUUGGUGGGGUAAUGGCCUACCAAGCCGACGAUCCAUAGCUGGUUUGAGAGGAUGAUCAGCCACACUGGGGCUGAGACACGGCCCAGACUCCUACGGGAGGCAGCAGUGGGGAAUCUUGGACAAUGGGGGCAACCCUGAUCCAGCCAUGCCGCGUGAGUGAAGAAGGCCCUAGGGUUGUAAAGCUCUUUCAGCGGGGAAGAUAAUGACGGUACCCUGCAGAAGAAGCCCCGGCGUAAAU